UACGUAGGUGGCAAGCGUUAUCCGGAAUCAUUGGGCGUAAAGGGUGCGUAGGCGGCUUCUUAAGUUUGUAGUGAAAUCGUAGGGCUCAACUCUAUCUAGCUACAAAAACUGGGAGGCUGGAGUGCGGUAGAGGCUAGUGGAAUUCCUAGUGUAGCGGUAAAAUGCGUAGAUAUUAGGAGGAACACCGGUGGCGAAGGCGACUAGCUGGGCCGUAACUGACGCUGAGGCACGAAAGCGUGGGGAGCAAAUA
rnacentral:rRNA from 1 species